rnacentral:rRNA from 1 species
GACGAACGCUGGCGGCGUGCCUAAUACAUGCAAGUCGAACGCAUUUUCUUUCACCGUAGCUUGCUACACCGAAAGAAAAUGAGUGGCGAACGGGUGAGUAACACGUGGGUAACCUGCCCAUCAGCGGGGGAUAACACUUGGAAACAGGUGCUAAUACCGCAUAAUUCCAUUUACCGCAUGGUAGAUGGAUGAAAGGCGCUUUUGCGUCACUGAUGGAUGGACCCGCGGUGCAUUAGCUAGUUGGUGGGGUAACGGCCUACCAAGGCUGCGAUGCAUAGCCGGCCUGAGAGGGUGAUCGGCCACACUGGGACUGAGACACGGCCCAGACUCCUACGGGAGGCAGCAGUAGGGAAUCUUCGGCAAUGGACGCAAGUCUGACCGAGCAACGCCGCGUGAGUGAAGAAGGUUUUCGGAUCGUAAAACUCUGUUGUUAGAGAAGAACAAGGAUGAGAGUGGAAAGUUCAUCCCUUGACGGUAUCUAACCAGAAAGCCACGGCUAACUACGUG